rnacentral:rRNA from 1 species
AAUAGAUACCCAGGUAGUCCACGCCGUAAACGAUGAGUGCUAAGUGUUAGAGGGUUUCCGCCCUUUAGUGCUGAAGUUAACGCAUUAAGCACUCCGCCUGGGGAGUACGGCCGCAAGGCUGAAACUCAAAGGAAUUGACGGGGGCCCGCACAAGCGGUGGAGCAUGUGGUUUAAUUCGAAGCAACGCGAAGAACCUUACCAGGUCUUGACAUCCUCUGACAACCCUAGAGAUAGGGCUUCUCCUUCGGGAGCAGAGUGACAGGUGGUGCAUGGUUGUCGUCAGCUCGUGUCGUGAGAUGUUGGGUUAAGUCCCGCAACGAGCGCAACCCUUGAUCUUAGUUGCCAUCAUUAAGUUGGGCACUCUAAGGUGACUGCCGGUGACAAACCGGAGGAAGGUGGGGAUGACGUCAAAUCAUCAUGCCCCUUAUGACCUGGGCUACACACGUGCUACAAUGGACGGUACAAAGAGCUGCAAGACCGCGAGGUGGAGCUAAUCUCAUAAAACCCGUUCUCAGUUCGGA